UGAACGCUGGCGGCGUGCUUAACACAUGCAAGUCGUACGAGAACGCUUCUGCUUGCAGAAGUUAGUAAAGUGGCGCACGGGUGAGUAACGCGUGGGUAAUCUACCUUCGAAUUGGGGAUAACAUUGCGAAAGCGAUGCUAAUACCGAAUAAUAUCCUUUUGACUCCGGUCUUAAGGAUCAAAGAUGGCCUCUUCUUGAAAGCUAUUGUUUGAGGAUGAGCUCGCGUACCAUUAGCUUGUUGGUGGGGUAACGGCUUACCAAGGCAACGAUGGUUAGCUGGUCUGAGAGGAUGAUCAGCCACACUGGAACUGACACACGGUCCAGACUCCUACGGGAGGCAGCAGUGAGGAAUUUUGCGCAAUGGGGGAAACCCUGACGCAGCAACGCCGCGUGAGUGAUGAAGGCUUUUGGGUCGUAAAGCUCUGUCAAGUGGGAAGAACCCGCAUAUGGCUAAUAUCCAUUUGCGUUGACGGUACCACUGAAGGAAGCACCGGCUAACUCC
rnacentral:rRNA from 1 species